rnacentral:misc_RNA from 1 species
GACUGCUCGAGCUCCUAUCUCGGCCGGACGCUGAGGUUUGUUUGGAAAGGAUCAUGAUUACCUUAACCAAAAAGCUGAAAUCCAGCAAGGGGGGAGGGAUACCAGAACCCCCCAAAAAGAGGAUAUCAAUUAGAGAUCAACUGCUUGUUAAAGAGGUUAGUGAAAUGGAGAGCAACCUACCUGAGGGAUGCACAGUGAAGUUCGAAGAUCCCAACGCCCUCCACACCUUCCGUCUCGUCGUGGCCCCACCUGAGGGGUAUUGGGCCGGGGGCGUGUUCGUUUUUAGUAUCAAUGUACCUGAAGAUUAUAAUAUAGCUCCUCCUGUUGUGAGAUGUGAAACGAAACUGUGGCAUCCGAACAUUAGCGAAGAGGGCGAGAUCUGCCUGUCCCUCCUGAGGCAGAACUCCAUCGAUGGUCUCGGCUGGGCACCCACAAGGAGGUUAAAGGACGUUGUAUGGGGUUUAAGUAGCCUUUUCCAGGAUCUCUUGAACUUUGACGAUCCUCUAAACAUCGAAGCUGCCGAACACUACCAGCGUGACAAGGAUUCCUUUAGAUGGAAAGUUAGGGACUAUAUAGAAACGUAUACAAAGCGAUGAAGCACACAGGGAUUUCUCUUGGCAUUAGCUUAAGUUUGUAAAUACUCUUCAACCUCUGCGCGCUUUUCCUUUUCCCCAGGAAGAAAACUUGUUCCAUGAUCGACUAACAUUUUUUACAGUUAGCUGUUUAGCUGUUGUUAAGCCACAUGUACUACUAGUGCUUUAGAUUUUGAUAUCCAUUGUAUUAAAGUUUUUUUUUUUUUUUUUCAUUUUUUCUUUUAUACCUUUCUUUUUUCUUUCGUCCUUCCUUCCUUCCUUUCUUUCUUUCUUCCUUUCUUUCUUCCUUUCUUUCUAAUUUUUCUUUAACUUUUUUCUUUUUCUUGAUAGCCUUUUUUUAAUUAUGCAAAGAAAGGUUUCAUAAUUCAGAAGAAAUUGUAGGAAGGGUAUUGUAGCUUCAAUUUUAAAUAAAACUCAUUGCAUUACCAAUCAGUAGCCCCUAUGCCCCACCCCCUCCCCCACCACUCCUCAAACAAGCAAACAAAAACACAAAAAUAGAACAAAAAAGUAUUUCACAGCAAAAUAGGAUUCAAUAGCUUUUGACACAAGAUGUUAGGAAUCACAGAUGGGGUACAAGGGAAACUAAGGACUCAAGAGUAGACUGAAGGAACAUCCAUGCUGAAGGCCAUUUCUCAGAAAAAAAGAGAAAACACUGAAAAAUAUCAUGAGUAUUCCCUCAUUUGCCACUGUCAUUCUGUGAAGAUAGUUGGUAAAUGGACCAGUAUUCUCUCUACCCCAUGAUUCUCUCAGAAUGUUAUUUUUCCUGUUAGAUACUGGUAAUUACAUACAAGAAACUGUAAUUCUCUGAAGUCUGCCAUUAGAUUACUGGCACAUUUUCUUCUCUCUUUUUUUUCUCUCUCUUUUCUUCCAUUCAUUUUCAUGCCACCUGUGUUGAGCCCUAUUUUAGAUUGCAGCUAUUUAUAACAGCAUACACAUUAGCUACACCAAACCACCUGGUGUCUGCAACCACUUUCUGCUCAUGAUUGCCCAUUUUAUAAUGCAACAACAUUCCAACUGGUCUACAUAGGUGUGGAUCGUGCAACAAUAUUUGCUCAAUAAGCAAGUCACCCAUGACUCAUCUCAAAGAGAAUGUAAAUCUGGUAUUUCUUGUUACUGUCAAAGUUGUUUAUUUGUAGAAGAGGCAUAGAUGGGGAAUGACCUGAAACCUUUUAGGUACCUAUUGACUGUAGACUGUGGGCAGUAGCAGCUCUUUAGUGCUGGCUGUAGGAUCUAUUGGCUCAUAUUUUCAGGACUUGAGAGUAAAGUUAACUCACAGCAGUUGAUCUUGUGAAAAUGAAGUACUAAUAAAUGUACUAGUUGCAGGUCUUUCUAGUCAUGAGAUCUAAUCUAGCAGAGAGACAUAUUCAAGCUUAUAGUUAAGAAAAUGUAAGUUAUAUUUGUGAUACUUAAAAAAAGGUAUAUAUAAAUAAAGAGGGCCUUCUUUUUUAAUAGAAAACGUGCAUCACCCAGUAUUUUCUCCCAAGGAAAUGGCUGAUCAUUUAGAUUAUUAUAUAAUCGAUCAAAGUGACAAGGUGAUGAUAUGGAUGUCAUUGUAGUACAGUUCUAUUUUAACUGAAGCUUCAAACUAUAGAAAAAAUAGUCAGAAAAAAUGAACACAACAAUAAUCUCAGAAUUAGAGUAGGUACUAGUGAUGCCUGACAUGAAUGAGUAUUGUGAAGAUAACCCAACUUUUUUCAGUUUGUUCAAUUGUUCUGUAGAUGCCCUUAUAAAGUCAUCAAAUUGAAGUAUGGAUUAUUACUGACCCUUUAAUUUUGGAGUGUGUUGGCAUCAAGGGAUUAAAUUAUAUUUGCAUUUGUGUUUUGCAAGUGCUUUUCAAUUUCAGUUUGAAUACAAAUAUCUUGUGUCAUGGAUGGCCGUUUGGACAGUAUAAAGAUGCUAACAAGGAGGAGUUCUACUGGGCUUGUUACACCUUGUGAUUGUGAUAUUAUCAGUGUAUUAUAUUAAGGCUGUUUUCCAACUCCUGUCGUAUGAUUUUUUUUAUUGGAUUCUCAUACCGUACAUGGUUUCAGACAAUUUUUGGUUGGUAAUUUUAUUAGAGAAGUGGAAACAUGUACUUUGAUAGACACACAAAUGUAUGUAACAUUGUUUGAAUAAACUCUAAUGAUUAUCCUGUAACUUUUAAAUAAAAAUUAUUGAAAGGC